CCUACGGGUGGCAGCAGUGGGGAAUAUUGCACAAUGGGGGAAACCCUGAUGCAGCAACGCCGCGUGAGUGAUGACGGCCUUCGGGUUGUAAAGCUCUGUCUUCAGGGACGAUAAUGCCGGUACCUGAGGAGGAAGCCACGGCUACCUGCGUGCCAGCAGCCUCGGUCAUACGUGGGUGGCGGGCGUUGUCCGGAUUUAAUGGGCGUUAAGGGGGCGUAGGAGGACUUUUAAGUGAGAUGUGAAAUAUUCGGGGUCAACUUGAGUGCGGCAGUUCAAACUGGAGGUCUAGAGUGCAGGAGAGGAGAAGGGAAUGCGUAGUGUAGCGGUGAAAUGCGUAGAGAUUAGGAAGAACACCAGUGGCGAAGGCGAUUCUCCGGACUGCAACUGACGCUGAGGCUCGAAAGCGUGGGGAGCAAACAGGAUUAGAUACCCCUGUAGUC
rnacentral:rRNA from 1 species